rnacentral:misc_RNA from 1 species
CAGUUUUAUGGCUGUUGUCGUUAUCGCUUUAUCUUUAUUGUGCAGGCUCCACCAUGAGCGGAAAGGCAGUGGCCAAAGUCAGAUGUCGAACCUAUCAGUGGCCAGACGGAACUAGUCUUCGACUGUUUAUUCCUUGUGAGGAGCGGGUGUAUCCUAAGAUCGUCGCGAUCCGAACAUCGUCCAGCGACGCUCGGAGUGAUGUGUGUUUAGCCCUAUCGUCGCCUUUCGCUGCACUCGCCCUGAGCAGCGCCACUUUCUGCUCAGCAAUCGGCUGUCGCGUGCCUGAAUAAUGGUCCGGAGCGAGCGUCCGAGCGAAACGUCGCCCCUUUUGCCCAAGUCUCCCGGCAUUCCAGGCAGUCAUGCAUCACCAAAUGCUGUGCACCUUAAGAAGAAGCUCGGUCUUACCAAUGGCGUAUCGCUGAUCGUUGGCUCGAUUGUCGGGGCCGGCAUUUUCGUGUCGCCUGCUGGCGUCAUCCGUUAUGCCGGAUCCGUGGGCAUGUCCUUGGUCGUGUGGGUACUUUCGGGUGCUGCCUGUUUCAUCGGGGCGCUAUGUUACACCGAGCUGGGCACCAUGAUUCCAAAGUCAGGAGGAGACUACGCGUACAUCUCGGCUGCAUUUGGACCUUUCGCCGCGUUUCUUCAGCUCUGGACGAUGCUUGUAAUAGUGCAGCCGGCUGGCAACGCUAUCGUAGCGCUCACGUUUGCGAACUACGUGCUGCGACCGUUCUACGAUGACGUGGAAUGCCUCCCGCCUCCCUUGGCUCUCAGGCUCAUAGCGGCCAUUGUCUUAUGUUUACUUACCUUUAUCAAUUGCUACAAUGUCAAGUGGGCAACAUUUGUUCAAGAUUCACUCAUGUUUGCUAAGGUCAUCGCUUUGGUCAUCAUCAUUAUCGCAGGUUUCGUGCACCUUGGUCAAGGGAACACAGGAAACCUCCAGAAUAUGUUUGAAGGGACAACUAGGGAUCCUGGGCUCAUUUGCUUGUCAUUUUACUCUGGUCUCUUCUCCUACGCAGGAUGGAACUACUUGAACUUUGUAACUGAGGAAUUGAAAAACCCUUUUAGGAACUUGCCAUUUGCUAUCUACAUUUCGUUGCCCAUGGUGACAAUCAUAUACCUCCUUGCCAAUGUGUCAUACUUUGUCGUCCUCACUGCUGAUGAAGUUCAGUCGGCAAAUGCUGUGGCUGUGACAUUUGGGGAGAAAGUUCUUGGUGUGGUGUCAUGGAUUAUGCCAGUCUCUGUGGCACUUUCCACAUUUGGAGGCCUCAAUGGUGGAAUAUUUGCAUCCUCUCGGUUAUUUUUUGUAGGUGCAAGACAGGGACACCUGCCUACUUGCCUUGCAAUGAUCAAUGUGUCCCACUUUACACCAGCCCCCAGCCUAGUCUUCUUGUGCCUUCUCAGCCUGCUGUACCUGACAAACACAGAUGUGUUUGUUCUCAUAACAUACACUGCCUUUAGUGAGGCCAUGUUUAUAAUGCUGUCUGUGGGUGGGCUUCUUUGGCUUCGGAUAAAACAGCCCAAUACAAAACGACCAAUUAAGGUGAACAUCAUACUGCCCGUGUUGUUCUUCCUCAUAUCGAUGUUCCUUGUGGUGCUGCCAUUCUUCAGCCAGCCCCUGGAAACAUCCAUUGGUGCUGGCAUCAUGCUCUCUGGAAUCCCUGUUUACUUCCUCACAAUCUACUGGAAGGAUAAACCCCUCGCUUACAGGAGAACAAUUCGUGUGGUGACAGAGUAUGUGCAGAAAAUAUUGUACAGCGUUCCACAAGAAGACAAGGUGGGAUCGGAUUAGCAGCGUGCAUCGGGGACAAUUUCCAAGAAAGGACGCUGUGGCCCGUCUCAGCGCGAUCUUCAUAUAUGGACUUCCUGUGCUUGUGAGGCGCAUCAGUUUGUGUACUAGCCUUGUUUACCGAAAAAAGUGCAUAUGUAAAAGUUUUUGCAAUAGAUUUGCAUGCGAAAAUGUAUUCCCUGAUGUUAAAAUGCGCUUUAAAAGAGCAGAAUGAGAACAUAGGUCACGGUAAGAAAAGAAGCUUUUGUUUUUGUAUCUACGUGACUUUAGAAAUUUUGUUUCCGAAUUUAUUCUUUUCUUUAUGAUAAUGUAUCCUGCACUUCAUACCUUAUUUUGUAUUUGAAGGCUUUGUGUUUAUGCAGUGCACACGUGUCGUUUUUUGUUGAGACUUUCGAAGGAUGCUGCUCUGUAUAUUGCUAUGAAGAAGUGGUACACUGUAAAGAACAGCUUUUGCGUCAUAUCUUUGUGGUACUUAAGUUUUUCUGCUCGAAACGAAUGUCGAGAUGUCUAAAAAUGCAUUUACGUUGUUCAAACAAAAAAGUGUUGAUAUAUCGGUAUUGUACUGUUCUCUUGUAUAUGUGCUUAUAGGCCAAUGCAUAUGAAAGGAAUAGAUGAAGACAGAAAAAUUGCGUACAAGAUUCCAAUACAGCACCCCCCCCCCCCUCUUUUUUUUACAUUUUCGUUAAUUUGACCUAUUAUGUUAGUUUUGUCUCUAAAAGUUGCAAAUCAAGUGCGUUGCCUGUGGAAGCAACCAAAUUAUUAACUCUCGCACUUAGUUACCGUCAGUGUGGGAUAACGUUACGUCUGCAAUUUUCCGACCACAAAUGUAGUUCAGCUGAAUGCAAUUAUUUUUUAUAUAGUCACGUCUACUAUUGCUCAUUGUAACUAGGCAAGUAGCAGCUGGAGAGAUCUGGCGUUGUAAAAGUCGAAUUAUUUCCCGCUGGCUUGUGCUAUGAGUAUUAAGCAUUUUUUUAAUGUUUCUGUAAUCAUAUUCAC